rnacentral:rRNA from 1 species
GACGAACGCUGGCGGCGUGCUUAACACAUGCAAGUCGAACGGAAAGGCCCUGCUUUUGUGGGGUGCUCGAGUGGCGAACGGGUGAGUAACACGUGAGUAACCUGCCCUUGACUGUGGGAUAACUUCAGGUAACUGGGGCUAAUACCGGAUAGGAGCUCCUGCUGCAUGGUGGGGGUUGGAAAGUUUCGGCGGUUGGGGAUGGACUCGCGGCUUAUCAGCUUGUUGGUGGGGUAGUGGCUUACCAAGGCUUUGACGGGUAGCCGGCCUGAGAGGGUGACCGGCCACAUUGGGACUGAGAUACGGCCCAGACUCCUACGGGAGGCAGCAGUGGGGAAUAUUGCACAAUGGGCGGAAGCCUGAUGCAGCACCGCCGCGUGCGGGAUGACGGCCUUCGGUUUGUAAACCGCUUUCGCCUGUGACGAAGCGUGAGUGACGGUAAUGGGUAAAGAAGCACCGGCUAACUACGUG